rnacentral:misc_RNA from 1 species
GAAUUAGGGUUCUAAAAUUCUAAUAUGAUUGGGAUUCCUAAUUUUAUAAAUAAGACUUAGGGUUUUUAUUGUCAAGGGAAGCUUUGUUAUGCCAUUUAUUUGAGAUUAAUAUGAUUUCUAAGAAUUAGCUCUCUUUCUCAAAGAUUGGUCCUUAUUCUUUAUUUGUUCUACAUUAGUGGGGCUUUCCCAAAAAUUUUGAUGGCAAACAUACAACCAUUUUGGAAAAUGUAAAAUU